rnacentral:lncRNA from 1 species
UGCAGGAAACCUUAGUGAGAAGGAAGAUGAAAACAUGCACUUUGGAUACAUUGCAAGGUGGGAUCUUUUUAGCUUGCUCUCUAUGACUAAAGUCAGUGAGACUUGUGCCAUUAGACCUGGGAUUAGGAUAUACAACAAAAAAUCAUUUUGAUGACUGCCUCAGAUGAAGGCCUCUGCAUCAAUGUAAGUGAUAUUUAUUGUAUACCUAAUUAUAUUAA